UUAGUGGAAGCGUCUGGAAAGGCGCGCGAUACAGGGUGACAGCCCCGUACACAAAAGCGCAUGUGCUGUGAGCUCGAUGAGUAGGGCGGGACACGUGGUAUCCUGUCUGAAUAUGGGGGGACCAUCCUCCAAGGCUAAAUACUCCUGACUGACCGAUAGUGAACCAGUACCGUGAGGGAAAGGCGAAAAGAACCCCGGCGAGGGGAGUGAAAAAGAACCUGAAACCGUGUACGUACAAGCAGUGGGAGCACAGGUUUACCUGUGUGACUGCGUACCUUUUGUAUAAUGGGUCAGCGACUUAUAUUCUGUAGCAAGGUUAACCGWAUAGGGGAGCCGGAGGGAAACCGAGUCUUAAYYGGGCGUUAAGUUGCAGGGUAUAGACCCGAAACCCGGUGAUCUAGCCAUGGGCAGGUUGAAGGUUGGGUAACACUAACUGGAGGACCGAACCGACUAAUGUUGAAAAAUUAGCGGAUGACCUGUGGCUGGGGGUGAAAGGCCAAUCAAACCGGGAGAUAGCUGGUUCUCCCCGAAAGCUAUUUAGGUAGCGCCUCGUGAAUUCAUCUCCGGGGGUAGAGCACUGUUUCGGCUAGG
rnacentral:rRNA from 1 species